GACGAAGGGGGCUAGCGUUGCUCGGAAUCACUGGGCGUAAAGCGCACGUAGGCGGAUCUUUAAGUCGGGGGUGAAAUCCUGGAGCUCAACUCCAGAACUGCCUUUGAUACUGGGGAUCUCGAGUCCGGAAGAGGUGAGUGGAACUCCGAGUGUAGAGGUGAAAUUCGUAGAUAUUCGGAAGAACACCAGUGGCGAAGGCGGCUCACUGGUCCGGUACUGACGCUGAGGUGCGAAAGCGUGGGGAGCAAACAGG
rnacentral:rRNA from 1 species